rnacentral:rRNA from 1 species
GAUGAACGCUGGCGGCGUGCCUAAUACAUGCAAGUCGAGCGAACGGACGAGAAGCUUGCUUCUCUGAUGUUAGCGGCGGACGGGUGAGUAACACGUGGAUAACCUACCUAUAAGGCUGGGAUAACUUCGGGAAACCGGAGCUAAUACCGGAUAAUAUUUUGAACCGCAUGGUUCAAAAGUGAAAGACGGUCUUGCUGUCACUUAUAGAUGGAUCCGCGCUGCAUUAGCUAGUUGGUAAGGUAACGGCUUACCAAGGCAACGAUGCAUAGCCGACCUGAGAGGGUGAUCGGCCACACUGGAACUGAGACACGGUCCAGACUCCUACGGGAGGCAGCAGUAGGGAAUCUUCCGCAAUGGGCGAAAGCCUGACGGAGCAACGCCGCGUGAGUGAUGAAGGUCUUCGGAUCGUAAAACUCUGUUAUUAGGGAAGAACAUAUGUGUAAGUAACUGUGCACAUCUUGACGGUACCUAAUCAGAAAGCCACGGCUAACUACGUGCCAGCAGCCGCGGUAAUACGUAGGUGGCAAGCGUUAUCCGGAAUUAUUGGGCGUAAAGCGCGCGUAGGCGGUUUUUUAAGUCUGAUGUGAAAGCCCACGGCUCAACCGUGGAGGGUCAUUGGAAACUGGAAAACUUGAGUGCAGAAGAGGAAAGUGGAAUUCCAUGUGUAGCGGUGAAAUGCGCAGAGAUAUGGAGGAACACCAGUGGCGAAGGCGACUUUCUGGUCUGUAACUGACGCUGAUGUGCGAAAGCGUGGGGAUCAAACAGGAUUAGAUACCCUGGUAGUCCACGCCGUAAACGAUGAGUGCUAAGUGUUAGGGGGUUUCCGCCCCUUAGUGCUGCAGCUAACGCAUUAAGCACUCCGCCUGGGGAGUACGACCGCAAGGUUGAAACUCAAAGGAAUCGACGGGGACCCGCACAAGCGGUGGAGCAUGUGGUUUAAUUCGAAGCAACGCGAAGAACCUUACCAAAUCUUGACAUCCUUUGACAACUCUAGAGAUAGAGCCUUCCCCUUCGGGGGACAAAGUGACAGGUGGUGCAUGGUUGUCGUCAGCUCGUGUCGUGAGAUGUUGGGUUAAGUCCCGCAACGAGCGCAACCCUUAAGCUUAGUUGCCAUCAUUAAGUUGGGCACUCUAAGUUGACUGCCGGUGACAAACCGGAGGAAGGUGGGGAUGACGUCAAAUCAUCAUGCCCCUUAUGAUUUGGGCUACACACGUGCUACAAUGGACAAUACAAAGGGCAGCGAAACCGCGAGGUCAAGCAAAUCCCAUAAAGUUGUUCUCAGUUCGGAUUGUAGUCUGCAACUCGACUACAUGAAGCUGGAAUCGCUAGUAAUCGUAGAUCAGCAUGCUACGGUGAAUACGUUCCCGGGUCU